GGGAGGCAGCAGUGGGGAAUAUUGCACAAUGGGCGCAAGCCUGAUGCAGCCAUGCCGCGUGUGUGAAGAAGGCCUUCGGGUUGUAAAGCACUUUCAGCGGGGAGGAAGGCGGUGAGGUUAAUAACCUCACCGAUUGACGUUACCCGCAGAAGAAGCACCGGCUAACUCCGUGCCAGCAGCCGCGGUAAUACGGAGGGUGCAAGCGUUAAUCGGAAUUACUGGGCGUAAAGCGCACGCAGGCGGUCUGUCAAGUCGGA
rnacentral:rRNA from 1 species